AAAAAUUCAGACUGCAAGUAAUUUCAGGUGGAGACAGUAAACACAGAUCUACCAAGGGUCAGUGGCACAGUUCACCUUUUAUGGAGGCGCCUGAUAUCAACGUGAAACGCACUGCAGUACUUUGUGCCCUUCCUGUAUACCUGUGGGAGGAGGACCCAGAAUUCUUUAAGACAUGUAAUG